AAAACACUUCAUAUUAACACAUUAUACCUCAGUUUGAGACAGUUUAAUGCUGUGAUGGACAUAUUACUGCCUAUGAUCAUUUCCUGCUAUACGUUUGUCUAAAGUUGACGGUACAAUGCUGCAUUAUUCCCUGACAAGCUUUUGCAUUUUGCAUGUGAUGGUCGCUUCGGCCUUGGAUUGUGACAAAAGGACCGACUGUCAGUGUUGUAUUGAUAAAGAAUGUGGGCGACAUCCGUCCUUUAGCUGGAUGCUCUACCAUUGUCGCAAAGGAUGCAUUGAUGGUUAUAGGGGCGCCC
rnacentral:lncRNA from 1 species